rnacentral:rRNA from 1 species
UACGGAGGGGGCGAGCGUUGUCCGAAGUUACUGGGCGUAAAGGGCGCGUAGGCGGGUCGGUAAGUCCGCUGUGAAAGCCCGGGGCUCAACCCCGGAGGGUCGGUGGAUACUAUCGGUCUUGAAGGUGCUAGGGGGAGAUGGAAUUACCGGUGUAGCGGUGAAAUGCGUAGAUAUCGGUAGGAACACCAGUGGCGCAGGCGGUCUCCUGGGGCAUUCUUGACGCUGAGGCGCGAAAGCUGGGGGAG